UACAGAGACUGCAAGCGUUAUUCGGAUUCACUGGGCGUAAAGGGUGCGCAGGCGGCCGUGUGUGUGAGGCGUGAAAGCCCGGGGCUUAACCCCGGAAUUGCACCUCAAACUACAUGGCUAGAGCAUUGGAGAGGGUAGCGGAAUUCACGGUGUAGCAGUGAAAUGCGUAGAUAUCGUGAGGAACACCAGAGGCGAAGGCGGCUACCUGGACAAUUGCUGACGCUCAGGCAACGAAAGCGUGGGGAGCAAAAGGG
rnacentral:rRNA from 1 species